rnacentral:rRNA from 1 species
AUGGCGAACUGGUUUCCCAUGGCGCUCAAGGACGGUGCCCGCACCUGGCUCCUGAACCUGGCUCCUGGCACAAUCUCCUUCUGGGACGAGAUGCGCACCCGAUUCAUCGCCAACUUCCAAGGCACCCGCGACCGGCCCCCGGCCAUGAGCGACUUGCGCCGCAUCAAGCAGCAGCCGGGAGAGACCCUGCAGAAGUUCAUCCAGCGUUUCAACAGCGCUCGCCUUAAGAUCCCCAGGGUGUCUGAGGAGGCCAUCAUCUCAGCCUUCUCCGACGGCGUGCGUGACGUCAAGAUGAAGGAGGAGCUUGCGAUCCAUGAGGACCCGUGCACCUUCCUGGAGCUGUUCAAUUUGGUGACCAAGUGCGCUAGGGCUGAGGAAGGGUGCCUUUCCCUCCUUGAGCUGCCAACUGCCGACCAAGAAGAGAAGAAGCCCAAGAUCAAGGACGUGAAGCGCAAGGGGGCUGCCGUGCUUGCAGCAGAGCCGGACACCAAGCGAGGCAGGGAUCAGCCUGAGUCAUCCAAGGGCAGCCGAUACUGCGUGUACCACGACCUCCACACCCACAACACCAACGAAUGCCAAGAGCUCAGGGCCGUGCGGGACGUGCGUGCCGGCCGACGCCCCGAGCGCCGCGACCGGGGCUAUGGCCGAGGAGGAGGAAGAGGUGGAGGACGAUGGGAAGACCGUGGCCCUCGCCAAGGGUGGCGUGACCGACCUCGCGAGGACCGCUGGCAGGACCAGUCUCGUGAGGGAGGUUGGAGGGACCCGCCUCGCGAGGGAGGUUGA